AUGCGAUGAUGAGGACAUUUUUUUAUCAUUAUAUUAAACCUUUCAAAUGCCUCAUGAAACAUCUCACCCGACUGUUGUUAGAAACUUCUUAGACUACGUCUUGCAU
rnacentral:snoRNA from 1 species